AUUGAACGCUGGCGGCAGGCCUAACACAUGCAAGUCGAGCGCGAAAGGCCUUCGGGCUGAGUAGAGCGGCGGACGGGUGAGUAACGCGUAGGAAUCUACCUGGUAGUGGGGGACAACUUGGGGAAACUCAAGCUAAUACCGCAUACGCCCUAUGGGGGAAAGUGGGGGACCUUCGGGCCUCACGCUAUCAGAUGAGCCUGCGUAGGAUUAGCUAGUUGGUGAGGUAAAGGCUCACCAAGGCGACGAUCCUUAGCUGGUCUGAGAGGAUGAUCAGCCACACUGGGACUGAGACACGGCCCAGACUCCUACGGGAGGCAGCAGUGGGGAAUAUUGCGCAAUGGGGGCAACCCUGACGCAGCCAUGCCGCGUGUGUGAAGAAGGCCUUCGGUUGUAAGCGACUUCUACUUGGUAGAAAGACGUCAUCG
rnacentral:rRNA from 1 species